rnacentral:rRNA from 2 species
CAACUUUCGACAACGGAUCUCUUGGUUCUCCCAUCGAUGAAGAACGCAGCGAAA